rnacentral:rRNA from 1 species
AAUGGGCGAAAGCCUGACGCAGCAACGCCGUGUGAGGGAUGAAGGCUUUCGGGUCGUAAACCUCUGUCGGAAGGGAAGAACGGGCAAGGGUCCAAUAGGCCCCUGUUUUGACGGUACCUUUAGAGGAAGCACCGGCUAACUCCGUGCCGGCAGCCGCGGUAAUACGGCGGGUGCAAGCGUUAUUCGGAAUUACUGGGCGUAAAGCGCACGUAGGCCGCUUUGUAAGUCAGGGGUGAAAUCCCACGGCUCAACCGUGGAACUGCCCUUGAAACUGCAGAGCUCGAAUCCUGGAGAGGGUGGCGGAAUUCCUGGUGUAGGAGUGAAAUCCGUAGAUAUCAGGAGGAACACCGGUGGCGAAGGCGGCCACCUGGACAGGUAUUGACGCUGAGGUGCGAAAGUGUGGGGAGCAAA